UGGGAGGCGGGAAUCGCCCUUCGGGGUCUCUCGUUCGACAAUGAAAGACCACUCCCAUCAUUGUUUCUUUACUUAUUCAGUGAAGCGGGAACUGUCAAUUAUUUUCCAUGUUGACAUUAAGCACACGUUAGUGCGUUGGUCUCACCCCGUGUGUGGCUGGCGUGCCGGCGUCUUGGUCGCAACUGUCUGGCCAGGGCUAGUGGUAUGUGUGUUUUGCCCUCUACUGCCUGUAGGCUGUUGCCGCAAGGUGGCAGUCCAUGGCUGGUAGACGGUGGGCGCGUGUGCCCGGUCUUGGUGCUAUCAGGCAGGUUUGGCGACGUGCGACCCGAUCUGAAGACAGUGUCAGGCGGGGAGUUUGACUGGGGCGGUACAUCUGUCAAAUCGUAACGCAGGUGUCCCAAGGUGAGCUCAGCCAGGACAGAAACCUGGCGUAGAGUAAAAGGGCAAAAGCUUACUAAACAAUGAUGGGAGGCGGGAAUCGCCCUUCGGGGUCUCUCGUUCGACAAUGAAAGACCACUCC
rnacentral:rRNA from 1 species